rnacentral:rRNA from 1 species
UGGGGAAUAUUGCACAAUGGGCGAAAGCCUGAUGCAGCAACGCCGCGUGCGGGAUGACGGCCUUCGGGCUGUAAACCGCUUUCAGCAGGGACGAAGGUUUUCUGACGGUACCUGCAGAAGAAGCACCGGCUAACUACGUGCCAGCAGCCGCGGUGAUACGUAGGGUGCGAGCGUUGUCCGGAAUUAUUGGGCGUAAAGAGCUUGUAGGCGGUCCGUUGCGUCGGAAGUGAAAACUCAGGGCUUAACCCUGAGCCUGCUUUCGAUACGGGCGGACUUGAGGGAUGUAGGGGAGAACGGAAUUCCUGGUGGAGCGGUGGAAUGCGCAGAUAUCAGGAGGAACACCAGUGGCGAAGGCGGUUCUCUGGACAUUUCCUGACGCUGAGAAGCGAAAGCGUGGGGAGCAAACAGGCUUAGAUACCCUGGUAGUCCACGCCGUAAACGGUGGGCACUAGGUGUGGGACCCAUUCCACGGGUUCCGUGCCGUAGCUAACGCAUUAAGUGCCCCGCCUGGGGAGUACGGCCGCAAGGCUAAAACUCAAAGGAAUUGACGGGGUCAUGCUGUUUCCUG